AAGGUUGGAGCCAGGAUCCAGCCCUUCCCAGCCUCAUUUAAGGGCUGGCAGUGGAGGCAAGGGCAGAUUGCUGGAGAUCCCUGUGUCCUUGAGGCCUUCUGGAGGAAACAAUAACAGAGUCCGCUCCGUUACGCUGCAGGAAGCUCAGCAAUCCUGACAUCUUUUCAUCUACUGGGAAAACUAAGCUCCAUCGGCAGCUGAGCCAAGAUGACUGCAAGCUGCGCAGAGGCAGUUUGGCAAGUUCUUUGUCAGGAAAGCAGCUGCUUCCCUUAUCGAAUAGUGUCCACAGUGGAGUGGGACAGACGAUCUGGCAGCCACCUGGAGACACCUCUAACCUGGUCCGCAUGAGAAACCAGUCUCUGGGACAGUCUGCUCCUUCACUUACUGCUGGUUUGCUGGAAAGGGAAAAAAUGUAUAUGUGAAGAAUAACUUUUUUGAGGAAUCUCCUUCUUGAUGCUGCUUAAGCUGUCUGAUUUGUGAAAGAGAGAUGGGAGCAUGAGAACCUGACCAUUUAAAACAACUUUAAUUGAGAAACAGCUUUCUGAGUAGCUGCCUUGGUUUAUUUCCUGGAGAGCAGCUAGGGGGCUGAAGCUGCAAGGGAUAACUGUCCAUGGAAUGAGAGAUCUGGAGCUGACAUCUGCUUUGCUGCAUGGUUUCUGUCAAAAGCAUUUGGUAGAAAAGAAGAAUGUUGAAGAAAGCUGUGUCUGUUCAGUUAGCAUUCUCUAAGAACAGAGUAUUCUGUACGAGAAGGAAAUUCAACUGGUUGUAGUCAUGAUUUCAUUGCAAACCAAAAGCAACAUAACUUCUGUUUUCAGCUGUUCUUUAUUUCCUCUAAUUAUUUUACAUUCUGAAGUGUGAGAAGAAAAGCAUAGGAGUAGGAAAAGACAUCCAUCAGCUACUUGUGAGCAGUCAUAUAUGCAACAUCAGGUAUUGAUAGACGGUAAAUGUAAAGCAAAGCUAGAAGGUUUUUUUGUUGUUGUUGAAUUUCCAUGCCUUGUCUGUUUAACAAGUGUUACUGAAAUGAAGAAAUGGUUUGUCAGUUGCACUGCCUUCUAGGGCUGUGUAAGUAAUUUGGUAAAUGUCUCUUAUUCUGUAAGACUGUUGAGGAGCAAUUAUUCCUUAAAUAAAAGGGUGUACCUCAUAUUUAGCACUGAGAUUUGACCCUUCAAACUUUUUGGGGGAAUCCUAGGCAGUCUCUGGGUUUGAAAAGAAAUUUAAAUCUUUAUAAUUAAAAAAGCCAGGCAUUUGUGUUGCUUAAAACUAAUUUUGGUUUUACAGUGACAUAUUAGCACUUAGCAUUUUUUAGAUGAGCUACUGUAGUGAUUUAAUUGGAUUGUGUUUUAGUUUGGUGCCUGUCAAUAGGUACUCUUCUAUCAGUCUUUGCCUCAAAUACCAGUUCUUAGCAGUGGUUGUUAUUUCACUGCAUGAAUAGGAAAUACAGAUUCUUACAUGAACAUCUAAGUAUUUCUCUGAUGGGGACUUAAGGCUGAAAAAAACACCACAUUAAAACACAGACUUAUUCUCUAGUGGUAGGCAAAUGCCUUGAAGCUUUAUAGCUCAAGUUAAUGAAAAUAGCUGUACUUUAAAACAAAGCACUGUUCUCAUAUGUAUAAUUUGGAAUAGUACGUUGCUGUUUAACAGCUCUGCACAAUUCAGUGAGCUGCAGAUGUGUUUGUGUGUGAAUGCUGCAUAUUAAUAAGUUGUAUUCUCAGUUUACCGUGGCAGAGUUUGUGCUGUCUAUCAAAUGCUCUGAUAUGAUAUGCAGUGUCCAUAAUUUAUUUUAAAAUAAUAAUCCAUCUAAUUAAAGCAGACAAAUUCAGCUAUAAAUCCAGUGUUUGUCUCUCUGUGAUACUGCUAGGAACUAAAAUAUGCAUCCAUUUUCCUAGUUCUGUAUAGUUUAUGGUGAGCUAUAUGUUAAUUACAGUUGUAGUUAAUUAAGCCUAGAAUUUUUUUGUAUGGAAUGGGCUUCUGAAGCAGUGAAUAAAGAACUGAUCAUAAGAUGAACUCCUAAUUAAAUGCAGUGAGUCCUGGGAUUUUGGUGCUGCUUAUAUGUUUGUAGCUCUUUUAAUAUGCUUGUGGUAUUGAAGUAUGUUUCACAAAUUAGAACAGCAAAAGGUUUCUUGCCAGUAUAAUUAAUCUUCUUAGAAGAAUAGCUCUAUUAGGAGAUGAAUAGGUUCAGUAAUGCAGAGUGUCAUUUUCAUGUGCCAGCCUUGAUUGGUAGAGCGUUUAAUUCUCUUAUUAUUUGUUACCAAUACAAUAGAUGGAUGCUGGAGAGAAAUUGGGAGUGUGGUACUGGGAUUGCAUAGUGCUCAAAGCUGUGUGCAUUAUGUCCCCACUUCAUAGCACUGUAGAUAUCAGUGUAUUUUCCUUUGCUAAAUGGCUUUGCUGGCACUCAGUAGCAUUUUUUUGUUUUCUUCUUCUAAGCACUAAUAAUCCUACACAUUGUUUGCUGUGUUUAAAUUGCAUUUUUUUUCAAAUGUAAAGUAUUUGCAAAGUGGAACAAAGAAUUAAAGAUAGUAGCUAUGGAAGUAGUUUGCAACUUCAGAAACAAGAAUGAUAGCUGGAUUACUUAUUAGCAGCAGCUCAAGAACUGGCAAUCACAUUCUAACAUGCUAGAUUUUGUAAGCACAAUUUAUUGUUAGGAUCUUUCAGCUCUUUGCAUGUGUGGUGGUCUGGAUCAAUGUGUCUGCAUAGCAUAGUUGAUUCUUGAUUGAAGGAAGCCAGCGGAGACUGAAUGCUGAGCACUGGUGCUGUGGAGUGAUAAGUGGUGAACGUGUCUCUGUGCCUUGUAAGUAUGUGAGUGAGGAUUUUGGAGGAUGACCUUCAAAGCUCAUCAUCUACCGUAAGACAGAUGGCUCUCGUAGUAGAACGACAUUUGGUGGGGAACAUCCUAUGAUUUUUAUUCCAUCUUUAAGACUUUUAAAUCCCUGAGAUAUCCAAGGAAGUAAAUGGGGGGAGGGAGAGAAUUCUUAGGCAUUUUCUGUUCAAGACCCAGGUACAGUAAAAACCAAAGGGAAGCAUGGUGAUGGGUCGGAAAAUGUGUAUAGAGUGUGUAUAUAUGAAAUAGAUAAUGUGGAGAAUAGUUUGGGGGUUCAUUUGUCUGAAAUUUUGGCUUGAAGAUAUUGUGUCUUGAAAGGAGUUAGAACUUGGCCUAUGUUUAGAUUGACUGAGAAUUGUUGGAAAUAAGAAUGCACUCCCUUAUGAAGAAAGGCAUAAAAAGCAUCAAGAUUAUUAAUUUCAGAAAGGAUAAAGUUUGAGACGACAGAACUAUGAUGUUUCAGAGGGGACAGAUUGGGAGGGUCUUUAUUGCAAACGCUUACUUUGACAAAACUCAAUGAAUGACUUUUGCCAAAAGCAGUUUAUUUCAAUGCCAUAAGGUAUUAAUAUUCCAGAGUUGGGAGGUGUGUGUGUGGAUGGUUUUCCUUUCCUUUAUAUUCUUGAAGAUCAUAAAAUUGUAGAAUGGCCUGGGUUGAAAAGGACCACAAUGCUCAUCUAGUUUCAACCCCCCUGCCAUAGGCAGGGUCACCAACCACCAGGCCAGGCUGCCCAGAGCCACAUCCAGCCUCACCUUGAAUGCCUCCAGGAUGGGACAUCCCCAACCUCCUUGGGCAACCUGUUCCAGUGUGCCACCACUGGAUAUGCUGCUCGGCUGAUGCACCACACUAAUGUCAAAUAUAUAUUGACAUUUGUGGUGAGAAAGGCUUUUUUCACGUGUGGUUUCCGCACCCCUGCCUACCAACAACUUAGUAGAGAGCAGCUCAAGCACUUGUGAAGGAAUCUGAUAGUGCACUACCAUGAAUUACAGUCAUAGAAGCACAAAAUAUCCCAAGUUGGAAGGGACAUCUUUCAUGCAUUGCUCACUGUCUGGUGCUUGGAAAAAUUAGAGAUGUUCCAAGAAUAAGAAACCACACGUGUUACUUUUGCCAACUGUGGUGAUGAGAAAACACUUGAGAGAAGGCUGUCAUUGGAAAAUGUGAUACUUCCCUGAAAAAUGUUGAGCCUUUUUCUCCUCUUCUUACAAACUGUGGUUUUCUAAACUGCUCCCUGCACACAACUGAAGUCCCCUGUGCCCCUUGAACAGGGAAACUGAUCAACAAAAUGAUGAUUGUAUUUUCUGUGCUGCUGUAAAGUGUUGGUUUGCCUUCCCCCAUUUUGUUCGUUAAGGAGUAGUUUAUCAAAAUAAAAGCCUCUCGGAUUUUGAAUCUGGAGGACAGAAAGUCUCACAUGCAAGGACUUGAUGUUACACCAGAGAACUUCCUGUGUUGAAUUACACUGAGCCUGUGAUGCUCCCCACUCAGCUGUGUUUGUUCUGAAGGCUCACUUACUCAAAGCCUUGUGGAUUUGGCAGUACUCAAUGGAAGGGGCCAAAUGGUCCUCAGGGCAGUGAGAAGUUCUGCUGGAAAUGAGGUAAGUGGGACUUCACCCCAUGGCAUGUUAACAUUGAUGUCCCAGUUGAGGUAAGCCCAGUAGAUGUAGGAGAGAAUAUUCAAUGUUGAUUUUCUAGAUUAUUUUUUUUGUAAUUCUUUAAGAUGUUUUAGAUAUUUCCCAUUAAAUUCAUUUUAAGACUAAAACCUAUUGUUAUUAUCUAUAAAGCCUCGUGAGGUUUUUUUGGUCCUGUUCUGCCAUCUGCUGGUGGGCAUGUGGCAAAUAAAAGAAAUUAAACCCCAAGAUUUAAGAAACUAUUGCUAAAAUGUUCUUAGAGAUGCUGGUAAGUGUUGGUGGUACUGCAGCACUGCAAUAUUAUUCAUGGGAUUGUAUUCAGCAGUAACUACUUGCUAGUAAUCUGGCUUUUUUUUUUUUUGGCUGGAGUAUGAAUUAGUUUUGUAUUUUAAAAUACCAUGGCUUGCAAUGUUGUUUUUCUGUUAAAAGAAAGUUGGUGGUUGGGACAGGUAAGAAGAAGAAAAGAUGUUUUUAUUUUGUAAUUACAUAAGUCCUUGUAUUCUGUGUACUUUUGGGGUCAGAAUCUGCAUUGCCAGACUGUGUUUUGGUGUGUGAACUGCUAGGUGGUGCUGAAGUGCUGGAGGUUUCAUCUCAUCACAGUGAGUUGCAUUUUUCAGCACAAAAUGACAUCAUUGUUAUCUAAAGGGCAAAAGCUGUUUUCCAGUGUACGGUAGCUACUGUUAGUGCAAUAUCACUAUAAAAGUUAGCAACUGAAAAAUCCUGACAAAGAGCAAUGUGACUUGAGGUUCCAUCUUUUUAUACUGUUUCAAAAAUCCUGUUUUAAAAGAAAAUUCUUGCUUAAUACAUUUGAGAGACUUUUGAAUGAAAAAUGCUCAUUCAGGUUUAUAGCUCAUGAAGACUGCAUACUUGAUCUAAGGAGUAAAGAACUUUCAACGCUUGACUGCAAAAGUGGGAUUUAAUGUUGUUGGGAAAGUGGAAGAUAGCAGAAACCCAUCGUUAUGUGAAUGGAUGGAUUUUUUUACUUUGUGAAGUCAUAGAAAUUGCAUUUUAAAACAGUAGUUGAGGGGGAAAAUGUAAAAAUGUGAGAUUGGAAGUAAGUGGAUUUCCAAAUUAAGGUCAUGUUAAGUCUAAAUUUAUGCAUACUAAUAAAAAAUUUGCGUUUGCUUACACUGUGAAAUCCCUGAUGAGACUUUGAGAGUGGGUAAGUUUUGUAAGUGUUCGAAGAUAUGGCUGUGAGGAGCUGAGAUAGAAGGUAAGAGAGGAACUAAAGCGAUGUCUAAGCUUGUUUCUUGGCUUGAAGGAACUGGAUUUGAGGGAGAGGUGGGGAGGAAGUUCCCGCUAGGGAGGGGGCUGAAUGUAUUGUGAUGAACUGAAUGGUAAGACUCAAAGCGAGGACAAGAAAUUUGGAUCUGAUAAUGCAGAGCAGUGGAGAAUGAGGACUUUGCAGAGGAGCAAACAAUGCUACAAGCAAAUUGCGGAAGAGCUUUUUGAACAUACUUAAGAAUUCUGAGCACUGGGCAGUGCUUAGAAUGCUUGCAGAGAUUUACCUUUGUCACAGCUUUGAGGCAUCUCUGGGAAAACUAAUGUGCUUAUAUGCUAUCAUUCUGCAUAUUUCCAUGACAAAUUCAGGAAUGUGUUCUUCACAGUGGCAUUCAAAACUGAUAGUCCUGAUAGGUUUUUCACCAGUAAAUGUUGUUCUAAAUAAUUCGUGUACACCUGAGUAAAAAACAGCAAAUAAUUGCUAUAAAUUCUGAACCAAAGUUAUACUUAAUGUACAGUGCAUACAUCUCACUGUGAAGAAACUGCAGUCUUUUCAGGUCAGCUUUUUUAUUUUUUUUACUCCUUUCCGUUAAGUGAAUUUCAUUUUGGAGUGAACUCAUUGGCUCAAAAGAGAUUUUCAUACUCGAAAGAAAAAUUUGAACGCUCUUAUGUGUAACCUGAGGCUUGUCAUCAUAGGAAAUACGAAUUCAUAACACUUGCCUUGUGAUAAUUGUUAGGCACUGGACUGUCAGUUUGAAUGAUUGCAGUUCUCAUUAUCUUCAGAUGCUGUGUGUUACUUUUUGUCUAUGCAUAUGUUGAAUUGAUUUUUGGCACACGCAGCCAGUUCCGCUCCUGACAGCAGCGCUAUUGUAGGUGUGAAGUGAGAAAUGCUGGAGUGUGUGUGGAAAAUGAGCUUUGCUGCUUGCAGAGCUCUGGGGGACUUGAGACAAAAUACAGAGAGUUAUUCAGACCAUUUUGAAUAUACCUUGUCACUGGAACGGUGCUUUGUUCCAGAAGCGUUAGGUGAUUCUUUCUGACCUUUAUGAAAGAAUAUAUCAGCACAAGCAGCAAGAAACUCUUCUUAAAUUUAAAAUAUUCUGAAGUAGCUUUGUAUAUUUUGGUGAUUUUUUUUGUUUUAAGUAUAUAUUGCUAUGGAAAGAGUGUGAGUGAGCUGUCUGCCUUUAGUGUUUUACUAUAACCACCUUUUCUAUCUGGUAACUGUUUCCAAGGGUGUGGUAGGGGAUAGGAGUGUCUGUCUUCAAGCAUGGAAUAGUUUGGUUGUCUGAGUUUCAAAGUGCUUCGUUCCAGUAAUGCAAAUGGUUUUGAGCUUUAAGAUGCUGAUAAAAACCCCCUUAGUCCUUGACUUAAA